AUGCCAGCUGCGGCGGCUGGCAGGAUGCUUGCAGAGGACGUACUGAAGUGUGAAGGCGGGUUGGUAUUCAAGAGAGAUCCCUCCAUUAGCGGCGGCGGCAUGUGCGUCGUAGCCGAGAUACUCAAGUGCGGCGGCGGGUUGGUAUUCAAGGAAGAUCCCUCCGUUAGCGGCGGCGGCGAGUGCGUCGUAGCCAACGUACUCAAGUGCGGCGCCGGGUUCGAAUUCAAGGAAGAUCCAUCCAUUAGCGGCGGUGGCGGGUGCGUCGUAGCCGCCGUAGUCAACUGCGGCGCCGGUUUCGAAUUCAAGAAAGAUCCCUCCAUGAGCUGCGGCGGCGGAUGCGUCGUAGCCGCCUUACUCAAGUGCGGCGCUGGGUUCGAAUUCAAGGAAGAUCCCUCCAUUCGCGGCGGCGGCGAGUGCGUUGUAACCAACGUAGUCAAGUGCGACGCCGGGUUCGAAUUCAAGAAAGACAACCCCCCUACCGGCGGCGGCAAGUGCGUAGCGGUCGGCACCACUAUCAGGACCUGA
rnacentral:rRNA from 1 species